GGGGUGAGAAAAGGACAAAUGAGCUCUAUCUGCGAGGUCAUGCAGAGUAUUUGAAUGGCUCCAGAACCAGAAGGAGUAAAAAAAAAAAAAUCCCCAGAAACUGUUUCUUUUUAAAGGUGGCCAUGCUGGAGCACAGCUGCUUCUGCACAAACACAUGCAGCCCGUGAACAUGUGCCCUGUGAACUUCCCAUGGUGUCACUGUGACACACACAUUGUCCUUGGCUGACCCAUGUGCCAAAAAGGAGGGGAGCUCACUUUCCAUGGAGGUUUCCCUCCUUGGCUUUGACAGUGAGUCAGCGCGUAUGAAAACCAGAAAACAACCCUAAGAACCAGGACUUGGGGGCAUGAGCAGAGAUCUGCUGAGAGCUGGAUCAAACCUAAGGCACCUCACUGGUAAAAAGCCAGCACAGCUCAAAGUCAUCACAAGUUGGACCAGAUAUUUUGGAAGACCCAGGAUGGUAUGCGUCCACUUCCUCCAUCUGAAGGAAUAUUACAUUUUCAAUCUUCUCCCCUCUUCUCUCACACAGAGGAAAACAAUAAGUACAAAGAAACCAUGCAAAAAAAACAGCACCAGGAAAGAAAUCCAAACAUGAGCUAGAGCCAGCCAGUCCUGGGAGCACGAGCAGCAGUGUUCUCAUGCAAAAGGGGUGCACAGGAGUCCCACCACACAGACACACAUCUCCAGCCCCAGCUUCCUUCUAAGCUUUGGGAGGUUGUUGGGUAUGCAUUCUACCCGAAUUCUUCGUUUUCUCUCAGUAAAGAGGGUGGCCUUGUGCAGGUGGGUUUGGACAGGGCUAAAAGCUCAGGUGGCCAGCAUGAAGAUGAAGAACACAUGAGCAUGUGAUGAUCACACAAGCACCAUGUAAGGGCAUCUGAUGUGUUGUUGUGCCUCAGGGGAGGCCAAGGGUUGUAGUGGAAUAGAGUAGCAGAAAAAUCUGUGGGGAAGCCCCCAUGAAACUGAUGACAAGAAUUGAGCAAUGCAUGCAAUAAGAGCAUGCUAAGACAUCACAUUUCCUUAAGAAAGGAAGCCUUUAUUGAUAUUUUACCUGUUAAAACUGGUCCUUAAUACCUUUGUUUUAUGUAGCUGUUGAUGCUGGCUCAGGAUUCACAUCCUUGGACAGGUAUCCAAUGGCUAGGGUAUCACAUCAUCCCAAAAGUCAAGAUGCUUUUGUGUACAUGGAUGUUAACUGGGAGGAUGCACAAAAUUCAAGCCACCACCUCAGGACCACUGAACUUAGCAUGGCCCUCAGGAAGGCAGAAGCUCACAAGGUAGAUACACUUCUACUCUCCUUCUUCUGUUUCUUGUGCCCUGCAAGCUGCUGUUUCUGCUGCAAAUGGACAUGCUGCUGUUUCCUGUCACCUUCACCAUUGCUGACAUUUUAGGGGUAUCUGGGAUAAAUCUGAGUGAAUCUCUCCUGUGCUGAGGUGGCAGGAUAAAAAUACCUCCCACGAGAAGCAGAUCUCUGUGUGCAGCACAGUAAAUGCUAACUGCUUCAGCAGUGAGGACAGAGGAGAAAAGCAAAUCAGAAAAGCAGAACACACCCUGAGAUAAAGAAAUUCCCUCUACCAGUGUUGGUAGAUAGUGAUAGCAAGGGCAGGAGCAUAUCUUGGAUUGGAAGAGGAAGAGGGAAGUUACUGAAGGAGGGAGAGGUAGGUUUAUCAGCAGAAGUGGCUUUAAAACUCCUUGUGCUGUUUCAGCCAAGAGAAGAGCUAGGAGUGGCAGAAGCAUUAUUUUCUGGAGAUUAGUGACAGAGAAAAUAUUUAGAUGAGCAAUGCCCUGCAUCCUUUCCUUUCAUUACAUAUGCACCAAUAUCCUAAUUUCAUUACAGUGUAAUUCCAACAGCAUAUCACUGAGCAGCAGAUUGAAACCAGGGAUUUAGAGUUCUACCUCAAACACAAAUGGAUUGACACAUCUGGCUGCAGAAAACAGAGUAUUUCAGUGCGGUGUCGUCAUAUCCCUAGUACAAAAGGCAUGUAAAAAUCUUUUAUUUUAUCAGAGCUCUAUAGGAGUUCAGUGAAUGUAAUUGACAUGCCACUGUGGAUUUUACAAGGGUGAAGCUGUGUCCUGUGUCACAUCCUUGGUUUUAAAUAGAUGCUUUAUGGCCAAUAUAACUCAAAGAGAACACAAAUAUUACAUGAAAGCCACUUCAGAGUUUCUAGAGGACCAGAGAUUCAGGUGAUCACUGGAAAAAAAUACAAUAUGACAUCAUAUAUAGCAUUUGAAAUUCAGCUUGAGUGCAAUUAGAAUGAUUGGAACAUCCAUCAGAUUCAGAGGCACAUAUGUAUUUGUGUGUGCCUUUAAAUAUAACCUAGAUACAAAAAUGUGUAAAAAGAGAUAGACAUCUCAGUUUAUUUUUAGGCAGGAAAAGGAGGUUUCUCUGGCUCCUUUGUAUGAUGAACAUUUUUUGGCAUUUGAUUGAAUAAAUGUUCUUUUGCAGGAGUCUCCUAGUGUAUCAUCCCAUUUGUGGUCUGUUGUUCUUCAGAGAAUUAACAAUGUUCCCUUAUGCUUGUGCCGGAAACAAAUUAGGAUGGUGAGAGCCAUAUGCUUAGGAAAAGGAUUUAAUGACAUAUCACUGAAGAUUUCAGUGGAGUUGUAAUGAUUUAUAGCAUGCAAAAUUCUAUCCUAUCACAAACUCAAAACUUUGUCUGAUUGAAAAUUCAUUUCUGUCUGGGAUAUAAAUAUUAUUAAAAAUAAGAUGGUUUAGAGCAUGUCAGCUAGUCCAUUCCUGGACUUCCAGAGAGCUUUGAGAAGAAAAUGACACCAGAAAAAAACUCAGUUCUGAUCUUCAAAAAAGUUUGGCUUCAUUUCUGGGGCAAAAGUUGAACUCCCUUAAUUUUGAGCUUUGCAGCAGUAUUCAUCAUCACCAUACCUAAACCACACCAGGUAUUACAAGGUAUAAACUGUUCGGUGAUGCCACUGAAUCUUUCAGUAUUCAGUUCCUAAAAGCAUGGAUAUUAUAAUGCCAUGUGGUCGUAAGGGAGGAAUAGUACUGCAUCCAAGUGAUGUACCAGUAAUUCUGCAAAUAACACUUAGAGGAAGUAACCUGCAUUUACUUCUUCCAAGCACUGAUCAAAUGACCACUUUAAAAAUCACUGACUCUGAGCCAACUGUUUAAAGGGUUGAAAGCACAGGCCUGGGAGUCAUUAUUUCUUGAUGCUCAUCCUGAAUCUGACAAAAACUCACAAUUAAUUCACUUAGCAUCUCUUUAUCUCUGCUGGCUCCCUGUACAAUAAAAACAGUUCUUCUUACAGAGCUCUUGUGAUUGCUAAGUGAUAGAUGAUCCUAUGUAGUCACAGAAAAGAUUUCAAAUUAAAAAGCAAAACAUUGUACUGUAUAUAAAUAUGUAAAUAAGAAGAAUAGAGAGACUUCAACAAGUUCUAUGCAAUGAAGAUCUAUAAGGGUAUGUUAAGGAUAUCAGUUAGAAGGGAAGCUGGUUAGGCAGCUUUCUGAUAGGGUGUCUGCUCCCCAUGUGUCUUGCAGCCUGGUUUGCACAGGGGUAAGAAGCCUGUGGAGCUUUUUGCACAAGUGAAAUGUUUUCUGCUAGAAGGCAUUUUGUCCCCCAUUCAGCUGUCUCACAGGAGCAGCUGAAUGUCACAAGGCCAACGGAGUAGCUUUCAGUAUGAACCCAGCAGCAAAAGUUGUUUUCUUCAAGCCAUGUAAUUGUGCUGUGUAGAAGAGUGGAAGUUAAACAAGUCUUGGCGAUAAAGGCAGUGAGAGCAACAUGUCUCAACAAGCAACAAACAACAACAAGCAGAAAGAGAAUCUUCUCUGGUGUAAUCCUUGGAUGGAGUCUCUAACUAACCUCACUUGCAUUGCCUCUUCCUGGACAAAUCUUUUUUCAACCUCUUGCCCCUGAAGAAGUGGGUGGAGCAGGACACUCCGAGCUCUUGCCAAAGCAGUGAGGACAUAAGCUGUCCUUGGUCUACAGGAGUGGAGAGCAACAUCCAAACGCUGCAGGCCAUGGAAGUGUCUAUCCCUCACUUGGAGGAUGCAGUGGGUGAGCACCUUUGCCCUCAGAUCUCUCCAGACUCCAUGACGACACCCGUACACUGCGAUGGUGCCCCAGUCUCUCAGGAGACAUGGGCACCAAAGGGAAUGAGAGGGAGCAGCUGUCCCUGUUCUUGGUGGUGAUCAGUCAUGUCACCUUCUCAAUCUGAGAGGAAAGAGAUAAUGCUGGCACAAGGACAGCAAAUAAAGCCACAAGAG
rnacentral:lncRNA from 1 species